GACCAAUUUUCUCAUGCAUAAGAACAAUUUUCAAAUUGCAGUGUCAAUUAAGAAAAUAUAGUUUGGUUGUUGGCAUCUAGUAUGCCAUUCAAAACAUAUGGUUACUCAGAUUCAAUAUAAAUGUAAAUGACGAAAAAGAAAAGAAUAAAAUAUAUAAAAUGCAUUAAUUAAUUUAACAUGGACUUUUAUUAAAUUAAUU
rnacentral:lncRNA from 1 species